rnacentral:rRNA from 1 species
CCCAGACUCCUACGGGAGGCAGCAGUAGGGAAUCUUUCACAAUGGGCGAAAGCCUGAUGGAGUAACGCCGCGUGCAGGAUGAAGGCCUUCGGGUUGUAAACUGCUUUUAUAAGCGAGGAAUAUGAUGGUAACUUAUGAAUAAGGAUCGGCUAACUCCGUGCCAGCAGCCGCGGUAAUACGGAGGAUGCGAGCGUUAUCCGGAUUUAUUGGGUUUAAAGGGUGCGUAGGCGGUCCGGAAAGUCAGCGGUAAAAGCCGGGGGCCCACCCCGGGGGAGCCGUUGAAACUGUCGGACUAGAGACGGCGAGAAGUACGCGGAAUGCGCGGUGUAGCGGUGAAAUGCGUAGAUAUCGCGCAGAACUCCGAUUGCGAAGGCAGCGUACCGGCGCCGGACUGACGCUGAGGCACGAAAGCGUGGGUAUCGAACAGGAUUAGAUACCCUCGUA